AUAUACAAAACAUGUGCUGAUGCCGCUGGCUUUUGUGUUUUUUGUGUUCCCCUUGUAUAAUAUAGGAUAAAUUUAUAUUAAUAUGGGAUGAUAUCCUUAUACGAUAAUCAUUAUGGCUAUAAAAUACAGAUUGAAAUCUGCAAACCUAUAAUUUCAUAUGCGUAAGUACUUAUGGGUGACGCCUAACACGGAUGUCUAUUAUCUGCGUAUCUGUAUGUACGUACAUUGAAUACAUUUAUUAUUUUGAAGAUCAAGGACACUUUUUGUUACAUACGACGAGAACACUAGUCGGGCGUGGUCGAUCUUAAUUGUGUAUAUAAGGCGGGACCCAACUAUCCAAGUUAUUACUUGUGGUGCCUCCUCAAAGUAAAACUUCAACAUGUUCUUCAGACUGUUCGCUCUUUUCGCUGUUCUGGCUGUGGCCUUCGCCAGCCCCAAGCCUGAGCCCCAACUGGCCUAUGCGGCUGCCCCUGGCGUCCUUCCCCUGGGUUACUCAGGGUACAGUCCCCUGGCCUACUCCGCUCCCUACGCAGCCCUGCCCUACGCCUACAACGGAUACUAUGUUCGCUAAACCAAAAAUACGACUACUGCAAAAAAAUGACACCGAUAUGCCAAAUGUGAUUUAAUAUAGUUUUUACAGCAUCA